AUUGAACGCUGGCGGCAGGCCUAACACAUGCAAGUCGAACGAGUGGCGGACGGGUGUGUAAUGUCUGGGCAACUGCCCGAUGGAGGGGGAUAACUCCUGGAAACGGUAGCUAAUACCGCAUACCAUCGGAUGUGCCCUGAUGGGAUUAGCUAGUAGGUGGGGUAACGGCUCACCUAGGCGACGAUCCCUAGCUGGUCUGAGAGGGUGACCAGCCACACUGGAACUGAGACACGGUCCAGACUCCUACGGGAGGCAGCAGUGGGGAAUAUUGCACAAUGGGCGCAAGCCGGACGGAGCCAUGCCGCGUGUAUGAAGAAGGCCUUCGGGUUGUAAAGUACUUUCAGCGAGGAGGCGUUACUCGCAGAAGAAGCACCGGCUAACUCCGUGCCAGCAGCCGCGGUAAUAC
rnacentral:rRNA from 1 species